AUGUUGAAUACCAUAAUUGAAAGCUUAGAUCUUAGAGAGAUAAAACUAUCUAGUAGGAAAUUCACUUGGGCUAAUUCGCUACCUAACCCGACCUUUGAGAUGCUGGAUCGUGUUCCCGCUAGUGUCGAAUGGGAACAAAAGUUCCCUCUCGUAACUGUCCAGGCAUUAUCGCGCGGAAUUUCAGAUCACACUCCAUUGCUAGUUGACUCUGGCGAUCCAUCUCAUGUGGGGAACAAGAAUAUAUUCUCUUUUGAGCUCUCGUCGUUUGAUAGAGAAGGGUUCCUUGACUUGGUGGCUAGAGAAUGGGCUAAAGAUUCAGGAGGAAGGUCUCCUAUCGAGAGAUGGCAGAAUAAGAUUAGGCAUCUGCAAAGAUUCCUGCGUGGAUGGGCUAAACAUAUGCAUGGGAUUUAUAAGGCUGAGAUGGAAAGACUCCUUUUACUUAUUCAGUCCCUAGACUUAAAAGUCGAAUCCACUAUUUUAUAUGCCAGAGAGUUGGAAACUAAGGUAGAGGCGGAAUUAAGAUUAAGAGAUCUCCUUCGGGAGGAGGAAUUGAAAUGGGCAUUGCGAGCUAAGGUUCGCAAGAUCGUCCAAGGGGAUGACAACACUCAGUUCUUUCACAUGAUUGCCAAUGGCAAGCACCACAAGAAGAGGAUAUUUCAGCUUGAGCAGGAUGAGGGGACGAUUGUAGGUCAAGAAAAUUUGAAAGUCUAUAUUAUGAAUUACUAUAGGCAGCUGUUUGGGACGCCGGAACAUAACUGUGUUUCCUUAAAUGAGUCCAGGGUUGAGGAUGUACCUCAACUUGCCUCGGACGAGAAUGGAGUCUUGACUACCCCUUUUACGGAGAAAGAGGUGUUUGAGGCUAUUUCACAAAUGAAGAAUGAUACGUCCCCAACGUAUCUAUAA
rnacentral:rRNA from 1 species